CAUCACUGCUCCUCACAUACUGGGCCACUGGCAGUUCCCUAGAUGAGCCACGUUUUUCCUUUUCUCUGGGCCUCUGGGUGUGCUGUUUCUUCCGCCUGGAUGCCUGACUCGUGCCUAACCGUCCACCUGUCCCCCAUGAUUGUCAGUCAUGGUGGGCUCCUUGAACUGGGAAGUACCUGAAAGCUCAUUGAGUCCAGCCCUCCCGUUUGACAGAAGAGCAAACUGAGGCCCAGGAAGGAGGAAAGACCUGCCCGAGGUCACAAGCAAAUAGGAGGCAGAGCCCCAUGGUGGUGGAAGGAUUGGGUGAGCAGUUCCCCGUGGACUUAGGGUAACAGUGCACCACUGGGCAGGGUGGAAGUGGGUUGGAAGAGGCCUGGGAUUCCUGAGCCCAGCAGCUUCAUUUGGUCUUUCCUGGCAUCCGGGGCCAGGAGCAUCAGUCCUUAGUUCCUGGGGC
rnacentral:lncRNA from 1 species